rnacentral:rRNA from 1 species
AUGCUGCGAGAGCCGCAGGGCAAUCUCAGGAGGCUGGCGGAGUUCCUGGGGUGCGCGUUCUCGGAGGCGGAGGAGAAGGCCGGCGUCGUGGACGCCAUCUUGGAGCUCUGCGGCAUGGAGAAGCUAAUGGAGCCUGGGGUGAACCAGAGUGGUGAAAAGACGGGGGAGCAUUCCUCCGUCAGGAAGGGGGUCGCCGACGACCGGAGCAACCACAUGACGCCGGAGAUGGCGGCAAGGCUCGAUAAGAUCGUCCAAGAGGCGCUGCACGGAACCGGAUUUAGCUUUGGCAUCCCCACGCCACAGUAA